rnacentral:rRNA from 1 species
GACGAGCCACACAAACGUUAUUCGGAAUUACUGGGCUUAAAGGGUGCGUAGGCGGCGCGGAAAGUUGGGUGUGAAAGCCCUCGGCUCAACCGAGGAAUUGCGCCCAAAACUUCCGUGCUUGAGGAAGAUAGAGGUGAGCGGAACUCAGGGUGGAGCGGUGAAAUGCGUUGAUAUCCUGAGGAACACCGGUGGCGAAAGCGGCUCACUGGAUCUUUUCUGACGCUGAGGCACGAAAGCUAGGGUAGCGAACGGG